rnacentral:rRNA from 1 species
GAUCAUGGCUCAGGAUGAACGCUAGCUACAGGCUUAACACAUGCAAGUCGAGGGGCAGCAUGAACUUAGCUUGCUAAGUUUUGUAUGGCGACCGGCGCACGGGUGGAGUAACACGUAUCCAACCUGCCGAUGACUCGGGGAUAGCCUUUCGAAAGAAAGAUUAAUACCCGAUGGCAUAGUUCUUCCGCAUGGUAGAACUAUUAAAGAAUUUCGGUCAUCGAUGGGGAUGCGCU